rnacentral:misc_RNA from 1 species
GAUGAAGAACGUAGCGAAAUGCGAUAAGUAAUGCGAAUUGCAGAAUUUCCGUGAGUCAUCGAAUCUUUGAACCCACAUUGCGCCCACUGGUAUUCCGGUGGGCAUGCCUGUUCGAGCGUCAUUAUCCUCCCUCAAACCCCGGGUUUGGUGUUGGACCCAAGUUGUGUGAACAACUGGUCUUAAAGACAAUGACGGCGUCCGUGGGACCCUCGGUGCAACGAGCUUUUAGGAGCACGCAUCGAGUUGCAAGGACCUUCCGGGCCGGUCUCCUUUACUAUUUUACAAGGUUGACCUCGGAUCAGGUAGGAAUACCCGCUGAACUUAAGCAUAUCAAUAAGCGGAGGA